UAGUCCACGCCGUAAACGAUGUCAACUAGCCGUUGGGGGACUUGAUCCCUUAGUGGUGCAGCUAACGCGAUAAGUUGACCGCCUGGGGAGUACGGCCGCAAGGGUAAAACUCAAAUGAAUUGACGGGGGCCCGCACAAGCGGUGGAGCAUGUGGUUUAAUUCGAUGCAACGCGAAGAACCUUACCAGGUCUUGACAUCCUCGGAACUUUCCAGAGAUGGAUCGGUGCCUUCGGGAGCCGAGUGACAGGUGCUGCAUGGCUGUCGUCAGCUCGUGUCGUGAGAUGUUGGGUUAAGUCCCGUAACGAGCGCAACCCUUGUCCUUAGUUGCCAGCGCGUAAUGGCGGGAACUCUAGGGAAACUGCCGGUGACAAACCGGAGGAAGGUGGGGACGACGUCAAGUCUGCAUGCCCCUUAUGCUCUGGGCUACACACGUGCUACAAUGGCCGUGACAAAGAGUUGCUACUUUGUGAAAACAAGCUAAUCUCAUAAACGCGGCCUCAGUUCGGAUUGCAGG
rnacentral:rRNA from 1 species